CAUUACGAACGCUGGCGGCGUGCUUAACACAUGCAAGUCGAACGGAAAGGCCCUGCUUUUGUGGGGUGCUCGAGUGGCGAACGGGUGAGUAACACGUGAGUAACCUGCCCUUGACUUUGGGAUAACUUCAGGAAACUGGGGCUAAUACCGGAUAGGAGCUCCUGCUGCAUGGUGGGGGUUGGAAAGUUUCGGCGGUUGGGGAUGGACUCGCGGCUUAUCAGCUUGUUGGUGGGGUAGUGGCUUACCAAGGCUUUGACGGGUAGCCGGCCUGAGAGGGUGACCGGCCACAUUGGGACUGAGAUACGGCCCAGACUCCUACGGGAGGCAGCAGUGGGGAAUAUUGCACAAUGGGCGGAAGCCUGAUGCAGCAACGCCGCGUGCGGGAUGACGGCCUUCGGGUUGUAAACCGCUUUCGCCUGUGACGAAGCGUGAGUGACGGUAAUGGGUAAAGAAGCACCGGCUAACUACGUGCCAGCAGCCGCGGUGAUACGUAGGGUGCGAGCGUUGUCCGGAUUUAUUGGGCGUAAAGGGCUCGUAGGUGGUUGAUCGCGUCGGAAGUGUAAUCUUGGGGCUUAACCCUGAGCGUGCUUUCGAUACGGGUUGACUUGAGGAAGGUAGGGGAGAAUGGAAUUCCUGGUGGAGCGGUGGAAUGCGCAGAUAUCAGGAGGAACACCAGUGGCGAAGGCGGUUCUCUGGGCCUUUCCUGACGCUGAGGAGCGAAAGCGUGGGGAGCGAACAGGCUUAGAUACCCUGGUAGUCCACGCUGUAAACGGUGGGUACUAGGUGUGGGGUCCAUUCCACGGGUUCCGUGCCGUAGCUAACGCUUUAAGUACCCCGCCUGGGGAGUACGGCCGCAAGGCUAAAACUCAAAGGAAUUGACGGGGCCCCGCACAAGCGGCGGAGCAUGCGGAUUAAUUCGAUGCAACGCGUAGAACCUUACCUGGGUUUGACAUGGAUCGGGAGUGCUCAGAGAUGGGUGUGCCUCUUUUGGGGUCGGUUCACAGGUGGUGCAUGGCUGUCGUCAGCUCGUGUCGUGAGAUGUUGGGUUAAGUCCCGCAACGAGCGCAACCCUUGUUCACUGUUGCCAGCACGUUAUGGUGGGGACUCAGUGGAGACCGCCGGGGUCAACUCGGAGGAAGGUGGGGAUGACGUCAAGUCAUCAUGCCCCUUAUGUCCAGGGCUUCACGCAUGCUACAAUGGCUGGUACAGAGAGUGGCGAGCCUGUGAGGGUGAGCGAAUCUCGGAAAGCCGGUCUCAGUUCGGAUUGGGGUCUGCAACUCGACCUCAUGAAGUCGGAGUCGCUAGUAAUCGCAGAUCAGCAACGCUGCGGUGAAUACGCUCCCGGGGCUUGUACACACCGCCCGUCAAGUCAUGAAAGUUGGUAACACCCGAAGCCGGUGGCCUAACCGUUGUGGGGGAGCCGUCGAAGGUG
rnacentral:rRNA from 1 species